rnacentral:lncRNA from 1 species
AAGACCUGUUGGUUCAUUUAGAGGUCGAGGAACAUUUAUGUAAGAGAGUCCUCAAUAACAUUCCUUUAACUUGGCAAGUUGAAAAAGCACAGCACCAAUUUUUUCUCCUCUUUGGAGUAUUAAAUUUUUUGCAUGGAUCUUCUUGAUUUCCAAAGAGUAAAAUUGCUUUAAAAGUCUGGUUACAGCAUCAUGUGAAGUAGAAACAGGCAGCAUGGAUUAAUUUCCACUGAUCACCCUAUCUCCCUAUUAAUGAGGGCAAAAAACCCAGCACACUAGGUUUUUAGGUAGACAGAGGUAAGAUUUGGCUAAGCUUACACCUUUCUGCUGUUGAGAUUUUUCAUGCAUCCAAACAUGCUGGAGGUGGCAAAUGUGAGGGAAAGCUCCGUGUUCUCUGCGUGCAGCUCCAUCUCUUCACUGAAAAUUCCACAGUAAUUUGGUGGUUUCUAUCUCACACUUGCUAGGCGAAUAAAUUCUCCAAAGCAUUUCUCUUCUCUCAAGUCCAUUAAAAAAGCCACUCACUUUUUGGUAAACUCCACACUAAAAGCAUUAGGUUAGGAAACAUUUGUACACGCUUCCUUUCCUAAAAAGGCAGAAGGAUGCAGCAAAGUAGGUUGGAGGCUGAUUUUCCUGAGCUGUCUCAUGCGAGUUCAAGCAAUAGGAAAAUUAAAUGUCUCUCCAGAGAGGUGUUAGGUGUUUUCUUUUGUUGUUGUUGGUUUUUUUUUGUUUUGUUUUGUUUUGUUUUUACAUUAGAUGUUCUUUCUUGCCCUUUUGUAUGCAAUUAUUUGAUUGCGUGAGCACAAAAUUCGUGUUGGGAUUAUGUAAAGCUGAAGCAGGAAAAUCAGGGUCACUGAUGAGGCACAGGGGGAGAUUCCUGGCUGCCUCUUAUGAUUUCAGGUGCCAUAGAAACACUUGAAGGAAAGCUGCCCUUAACUUUAUUUGCCUCGUCCUUGCUAUUUCCUUUGGGACAGAAUGAUACUGAUUGUUUUAUCACCCUGUUUUAUUGACAGAUCCUGUGCUCUGCAAAUGCAAACCCUGGUUUUAAAACAAAAGUGUGUUCUAUUGUGGAGUGAUGGAGUUGUGUCAAAGCUGUCUUGUUAGGAGAGGUUUCCUGAAUCAUGCUGGAACAUUAUUCUGUAGAGGCAUAGCUGACAUGGCAAGAACCAGGGUGAGCAGCUAUGUGCCAGUGUGUGGACUCUCCUCCUGGAGAGACCACCUGGGCAAGUGAGGCAAAUGAUACAAGGAAGGGAAUUUGAAUAAUGAUCACUUUUAAAAAAUGAAUUGUUUAGAUGCCUGCAUUGAAGAGGGUAGUUCUGGAGUAAUAUUCAAAAUGACUGUGUGGUCAGCUCUGUCACUCCACCACUUCUUUCUCAGGACUAGUACUUUUUACUCACACAGGAUUAAGAGAAUUGAGGAUCCACUUGCUGGGUACCUCAGUGACAUCAGAACAUUCCCACUGCUCAAAACUGAGAAGCAGUGAUGCAUGUUUGAUAUAGCUAGAAAAUAGCCUGUUCUGUCCCUUACCCCAGGCAAGUUACCUGCUAAAGCUGAUGCAUUUUGCAGAUUUUAUAGGGGGAAAAAAAGAAGGGGGGAAAAACAGACAGUAGAUGUGAUAAUUUCAUGUGAGAGAAACCCAGGUGAUGACAAAAAGUUCUUUUGUAAAGUUCUGAAAAAAUCUAUUCUGACCUUGAAACGUGUUCAGCCUUUUUUGUCUUACUGCAGUCCUUGCAGUUAUACCUGUGGUGAAUUAAUCUCUUUGUUAGCUACGUCUGAGUGCUCAGGAAAAUGGAUCCCUCAGCUGGGCGAGCAUUCCAGCAUUGUUUUUGUGCAAAGAGAUGUCACCAUUUUUAAUUGCACAUCCUGGGAGGGUGGCUAAAGUGUCUCCCUGCUGAGAGGGACAUGGCUGGGCUUUAAAAUAAAGUUGAAAACACUGGCAUAGUAAGUAUAUUCCAGUGCCUAAACACAUCACAUUUGUACACACACACUUCUGUCUCUGCCUUGCUUUUACAUGUGUGAACCUUAAGAAAAUUGCAGUUUUGCUGCUGAUCUAGUAGGUGCUUUUCUGUCUGUAACAGGAAAAAAAUGUGAUUUUUAACUGUAUAGGUGUGGAAACUCAUGUCUAUCCAGAACAACAAGGAAAAACUGCUAUUGUAAAGAAAGGUAAAUUGCAGCUUCAAAAUACUUCAUAUAUUUAUCCUUCUUUUUUCUUUUUUCUUUCUAAAAUUUUGAAAAUUUUGAUAAUUGCUCUAAAGCCCUUUCUAAGUGCUUUUUUGUAAUGACUUUGAAGUGGUUUUUCAGAUUCAUUUUCAAUAUAUUUCUCUUGCAAGCAACACUUGAUCCAAAUAUUUUACUGCCUAGAAAAAACAAAUCCAGAUUUUCAGAAAAGCAUUCCUGAAUUUAAAAAAAAUUUUCCAUACUGCUAGUGUACUGGAAAAACUGCAGUUCUCAUGGUCCUUUUUGACUUUAGACCCUAAUAUAAAGCUAUAAUUUAAAAAUCCUGAUUUCUAGCCUAGACUUUUAUAUGUUUGAUCUCCAAUUUUCAGAUACUUCUUUGCUGAAAUUGAGCUAAACCUAGGCAAAGUGUUGUGGUAAGUGAUGGGAGGGAGGAAAGUACUCAUUGUGCUUAAAGCUUCAUCCUUAGGUGGUGAUUAGUUGGCUUCCUAAGAUUAUUAAUGAGGUAGAGAAAUUAUUGCUGAAGCAAUCAGGGUGUCUGGUUUUCUCUCUGGUGAGAGA